GGGCUAAAUUGUAAGGGUUUAUUGUUCUCAUUCUUCUUUGCUUUUAUUUUGGUAUAUUGUUUUUUUAAACUAUAGAAUGCUAAAAGAGUUAUUAUUUUUUCCAGGAAAUAUAUGAAAUGGUUUACAGUAUAAAGUGGACUAUAUCUUUAUUCUAAUUUGGACUCGUAGCCUUGCACAUAAUUUGAAUUUGAAAUUUGAGCAUGUAUGGAGCUACAAGUAUGAUUCUGUAUGUGUACAUCGGUUGUCAAUUUAAUUGUAAAUUUUGGUGUACAAAAGUGUGUCUUUAGCAUAAAUGUGUUCAGAAUUGAAAAGUGAUAUAUGUGUUCAUUUUGUGAUCUAAGAAGAAUUCUGAGGCACAUCUGGAAUUGUUGAAACUGUGCUGAGAAAAGUCCAAUGUUUAUGUAAAAUAUGUAGUUCACCAAAAGUACGAAUUGUGAAAUUUGACUGGUCCUGUGAAUACAUGUAUAUUGAGUGGUACUUAGUUCAACUGUACUGUGAAUGAGUUUUGUUUUAAAUACCAUCAUGAACAUACAAAGAAUAAAUAUCACUGUAGAUGUAUAACAGUAUAAUAUUAAAUAAGUUCUACAUUUAUUUAUUUUCAAAUAAAAAUUAUUCAAACUGUUUGUUUUUACAGUACUGAUAAAUGUCAUUAGUUUUCAGUUAAGUUGCCAAAGUUUUUGGCCGUUUAGCCAUGGUAUCGUUGUCAUGCAAAACAUGGGUCGGGGUGGCUGGAGACCGUUCAACGUUUCUGUUGUUUUUUUGUUUUCCUGGGGUUGAUUCAGACUACUGUUGUUCAGAUACAAAUGAUGUAAUUUGAGUUUGUGUUGUUUUUCUCUCUUUCUUUGACUUUUUUUUCUUUCUUUUCUUAUAUAUCAUGUACUGUAGUACGCCGCUAGAUUAAAACUGACGAGGAAAGGUAACACACGGGCAGCGAAAGCUCUUUUUAAGAGCCC
rnacentral:lncRNA from 1 species